CAGGAUUAGAUACCCUGGUAGUCCACCCGGUAAAGGAGUGAACUAGAUGUGGGGGGGGUUGAUCCCCUUUGUGUGGCAGAUAACGCAUUAAGUUCACGGCCGGGGGAGUACGGUCGCAAGAUUAAAUUCAAAGGAAUUGACGGGGCCCGCACAAGCGGUGGAGUAUGUGGUUUAAUUCGAUGCAACGCGAAGAACCUCCUUACCUGGUCUUGACAUCUCAAGGAUCUCCUGGAAACAGGAGAGUGCUUUCUUUCGAGAGAACUUGAAGACAGGUGCUGCAUGGCUGUCGUCAGCUCGUGUCGUGAGAUGUUGGGUUAAGUCCCGCAACGAGCGCAACCCUCGCCAUUAGUUGCCAUCAUUUAGUUGGGCACUCUAAUGGGACUGCCGGUGUCAAACCGGAGGAAGGUGGGGAUGACGUCAAGUCCUCAUGGCCUUUAUGACCAGGGCUACACACGUACUACAAUGGCCGGUACAAAGGGCAGCCACAGGGUAACCUGGAGCAAAUCCCUUAAAGCCGGUCUCAGUCCGGAUCGGAGUCUGCAACUCGACUCCGUGAAGUUGGAAUCGCUAGUAAUCGUGGAUCAGCAUGCCACGGUGGAUACGUUCCCGGGCCUUGUACACACCGCCCGUCACACCACGGAAGUUGGUUGUACCAGAAGUAGUUGAGCGAACCUUCGGGGCGCAGACUACCAAGGUAUGGCUGGUAACUGGGGUGAAGUCGUAACAAGGUA
rnacentral:rRNA from 1 species